rnacentral:rRNA from 1 species
ACACUCCUACGGGAGGCAGCAGUGGGGAAUAUUGGACAAUGGGCGCAAGCCUGAUCCAGCCAUGCCGCGUGAGUGAUGAAGGCCCUAGGGUUGUAAAGCUCUUUCACCGGAGAAGAUAAUGACGGUAUCCGGAGAAGAAGCCCCGGCUAACUUCGUGCCAGCAGCCGCGGUAAUACGAAGGGGGCUAGCGUUGUUCGGAAUUACUGGGCGUAAAGCGCACGUAGGCGGAUCGAUCAGUCAGGGGUGAAAUCCCAGGGCUCAACCCUGGAACUGCCUUUGAUACUGUCGAUCUGGAGUAUGGAAGAGGUGAGUGGAAUUCCGAGUGUAGAGGUGAAAUUCGUAGAUAUUCGGAGGAACACCAGUGGCGAAGGCGGCUCACUGGUCCAUUACUGACGCUGAGGUGCGAAAGCGUGGGGAGCAAACAGGAUUAGAAACCCUAGUAGUCCCAUG